GCGGGCGUGGCGGAACUGGUAGACGCGCCGGAUUUAGGUUCCGGUGAUGCAAAUCGUGGGGGUUCGAGUCCCUCCGCCCGCACCA
rnacentral:tRNA from 1 species